CCUACGGGUGGCAGCAGUGGGGAAUAUUGCACAAUGGGGGAAACCCUGAUGCAGCGACGCCGCGUGAGUGAAGAAGUAAUUCGUUAUGUAAAGCUCUAUCAGCAGGGAAGAAAAUGACGGUACCUGAGCAAGAAGCCCCGGCCAACUACGGGCCAGCAGCCGCGGUAAUACGGAGGGGGGAAGCGUUAUCCGGAUUUACUGGGUGUAAAGGGAGCGUAGACGGCAGGGCAAGUCUGGAGGGAAAGGCGGGGGCUCAACCCCCGGACUGCUCUGGAAACUGUACGGCUGGAGUGCAGGAGCGGUAAGUGGAAUUCCUCGUGUAGCGGUGAACUGCGUAUAUAUUAGGAGGAACACCAGUGGCGACGGCGGCUUACUGGACUGUAACUGACGUUGAGGCUCGACAGCGUGGGGAGCAAACAGGAUUAGAUACCCCGGUAGUC
rnacentral:rRNA from 1 species